GACGAACGCUGGCGGCGUGCUUAACACAUGCAAGUCGAACGGAAAGGCCCUGCUUUUGUGGGGUGCUCGAGUGGCGAACGGGUGAGUAACACGUGAGUAACCUGCCCUUGACUUUGGGAUAACUUCAGGCAACUGGGGCUAAUACCGGAUAGGAGCUCCUUCUGCCUUGUGGGGGUUGGAAAUUUUCGGCGGUUGGGGAUGGACUCGCGGCUUCUCAGCUUGUUGGUGGGGGAGUGGCUUACCAAGGCUUUGCCGGGUAGCCGGCCUGAGAGUGUGACCGGCCACAGUGGGACUGAGAUACGGCCCAGACUCCUACGGGAGGCAGCAGUGGGGAAUAUUGCACAAUGGGCGGAAGCCUGAUGCAGCAACGCCGCGUGCGGGAUGAUGGCCUUCGGGUUGUAAACCGCUUUCGCCUGUGACGAAGCGUGAGUGACGGUAAUGGGUAAAGAAGCACCGGCUAACUACGUG
rnacentral:rRNA from 1 species